GGGAUCAUACAAUUGUAUUGUCUUCAAAACACACACACACACACAUACACACACACACACACACACACACACACCCCUUCCAAGAAAGCUGAUCCUUCAGAAAAUAAAUCUUAUUUUUAAGCACUUGGGUUUUCAGGCCAGAAAAUUAAUAAAUCCUAAACCUGACCCAUUUUUGUAACAGCUAAAAAGGAGAAGAAAAAGCUAGUUAAAUUUUGUGUGGAUCCAUUUAUCUCUUAAAAUAUGCCAAAGCAAUUUGAGGUGGGGGUGGAAACAGGUAUUUAUCUCUCAUGCGUGAUUCUCUCUUUAUAUUUCUAUCUGUUGGGAAAAGGGUAAAGAACUAUUCUUGGUCAUUAUUGAUGUAUUGUGUUGCCACUUUGUAUGGUGCCUGCUGUGCUUUAUCCCGAGGCAUAGCAGUAAUCGUUACUAUCUUGACUCUUUCCUUCAUCACAAGAGAGUAAAUAUGAAGUCUGAAUGUCGUUCCUCACCCCCAAAUUGUUUAACUCUGCUUCCAAACUAGUUUAAGAAAUGCAAAAUGGGAAGAGCUAGCUUUUCUUAGAUACAUUUCUUCCUUUUUUAUUCUUUCUUGGGAGACGUUAAGUAUAAAAGGGAAAAAGUCAGUUCCUUCUUCUCUCUCUUUCUCUUUGGGUGACAGCAAUGCUCACUUAGUAAUUAUAAACUGGAAAUAGGAGAGUAGCUUGAGCAGGUUAUGAUAUAUCUGCCCAAUGUGUUUCAUUCCUUCAAACAUAAACUUUGAGAGUAAAAGAGAUUUUUAUAAUUUAAAUGCCAACGACAGGAAUGGCCUCAUGUUUUAACUUUCAAAUAAUAAAUGGGGAGUUGGUAUUUGGGCAGAGUUUGCAUUUUACUAAUCCUAUAUACUUUGAGCUUAGUUUUUAGAAUUGUGUCAAAUACAUCAACAUAUCAGGAUUAUAGUGCCAAAAAUAGUUAAAGUGCCUUGGUCCUCCCUCUGUAGGCAGCAAAUUGAAACUAACAUGGGACCAUGCCAUCCUUCUAGCAUAAUGGAGAAGUCUGAACUGAGGAGUAUCUUUGAUGAAAGACAUUUAGGACCCUAGAAACUAAAUCUUGUCACCAAGACUUUAUAGUAAAGUAGUAGCAAAAUUAUUUUUAAAAGACUUUCUUCCUUUUACUACCCAUUUCCUCUCUUGGGAAAGCUGAUGAGCAAAUUAUCCAAGACUCAUUUCUUUAUUAGGCAAAGUCAGAAUAUUUCCCCUCUGAAAAUCUGAAUUAUGCCCUCAUUCUUUUUCAAGAAAUAUCUCAAAGAGCAAAUAGAAUUAAACAUGACACUUGAUUGUCUGAUUAUUUGGCAUGUAUAAAAUUAUCAUGUGGCUUAAUGUGCCUUAAGUGAAAAUUUAAACUUAGACCUGAAACCUUUACAGUUGGAUGUAGCGUUGAGCUUUUGCAUGUUUUCUGUAUAAUAAACCACUUUUGUUUUGUUUGUUUUGUCUUUUAACCUACACCUUUAUCAUUACUCUAACAGAUUUAGGGCUUCUCUUUCUCUACAGCUAAGUAAGGGAAUAUGUGCAAUUAUGAGACAUACAAAAAAGGAAAGGGAAAGGACUUUCUAAGUAGCAAAUCUGUGCCAUGAAGUAGAUGUGGCGUGAAGAUACAGAGCCUGAGGAUAGUAAUUUUCCCUGAGCCACGCACACAGGCUUUUAUUUCAUGCCUUUUCUCUUUCUGUGCCGUCACCUUUGAGAAAAACGAUUGCACCUUCUCCAAGUCUGCCUUUUUAACAGCUACAGUUAAGUUGGCAAGACUUCCCCAGCUCUGAAUAUAGCCAUUUGCCGACUCCGGCCUCUUUGCGAGACUGACUCAAAUCUGUGAUCUUCUGUUCAGCAUACACAUCAGCAAAGUGAGAAGAUGAGCACUAAAUAUAGGCUCUAUUAACUUUACUUUUAGAUUUACUGCCUUCAAAAAGUGCCUAUUCUGAGCAACAUAAACGUUAUUCCUUACAUAUGUAUGUACACACGGUACCCAGAGUCGUACUGUGCAGCCUUCAAAAACAUACCAUCAGAAAGAGUAGGUGCUGAGAUAAGGAAACUUUGCCAAAUGAAAGAAAGUCACUCACUUCCAAUAUCCCCUCUCAAGCGGCUACCGUGAAACGGGCUGCAAACACAUUCCCUGAGCAUCCCUUGCUGAUACAGCUUCUUUAUAUUUAUAUCCUACUGGAUGGUAGCAUAUUGCUAAGGUUUCCUGUACUCUGCUUCAAGGGAAUGUAAGCUUUAUGGCAUUGAAACAUUUAGGGAAAAAAAAGAUGUUUAAGAGAAUUAAUAGAGCCGUAGUCUGUAUUAGGAUGUGUGUCAUAUGUGUGUUCUAUAAACUAAGCAUCGGUGGGUUUAGAGUGUUAAAGUGUCAGCACAUUCCUUCUCCUUUUGUCUCUCAGGCUAACAUGAGAGAAAAUAGAAAAGUCUUGGCUGUGGGGAUUGGAAGCUCAGGGGGCCAAAUGUCCUUGCCAGAUCCUUAGAGCAUUACUUUGACUCCUAAAAAUAGUAGUGUAUGUUAUUUGAUGGCUUUUGUUUCCAUAGUUCCAUCACUGACAAAACUGUCAAUACUGUUGAUGGAGCAGCAGCAUAGCCUAGAGUGAUGCAUUCUUACCCAGAGGUGGCAAUAGGAGAGGGUCCAUGUAAAUAGGACGAGGUAGACAGUGCAUGAUUGUAGGAGAAGGGUUGAAGGGAGGACAUGAUUCCAAAAAAGAUCGUUCUCAAUGUGUCGUCUGACUCAACCAGCUGGCAGAUUACACUUGCCAAGUCGUUCCCUUUCCUUCUAAGUCAGUUGGCUCCAUAUUCACUUGAAUAUGCCUCUGUUUGGGCAAAGCAAGAUACCUCCACUUAACCUUUAUCCAAGGAAGCUCUUGGUGUCCUCUUGGUCAUAAAGUUGUCUCCUACCUAACCCAGUUUUACCAAAUGGAAGUAAAAGGGGACAAACUAUGGAAGAUGGACUCCAUGCCAUUGCAGUCAGCCACCAUUCUCUUUUCCAUAUAAGGAGCCCCAUUACAUAAGCUACGGGUGAGGUUGGAACAGCUAUGUUUCAUAAUUUCAAGAGUGUGACCACCCUGCUCUAGUCAUCAUCAUUGGAUGAAUCCAGUUGACUCUUUGGCAAAAGGGUGAUACUUUUCACUAAAAAUGCCUACUCUUCCUGUUGAUGUUCCUUUUCUGUUUUUACCUUGUCCAAUUUCCACACUAGUCAUUUUUUUUAUUUUUUAGAGGAUCAGAUUUUAGCGCUGGAAAAUGAGUUCAAAAAUUUCAGUGUAAUGUCAUAAGGAUGUUGGGAUACAGAGAUUUUUUUUUUCCUUGGAAACAAAUGGACUGGGAAGAAACACAGCAUGGCUUUGCUCUGAGUUUCAAUCUGAUGAUUAUGACCAUGGAAGAUAGUCUUAUGUAAAGGUUAAAUGGUGUUUACAAGUGGAUAGAUAAGGCGGAGAUGGUGAGAAGCCGGGUUUUCUCUAUGCUAAAUGUGUCUACUAAGAGCAGCACUUCCUACUAGCUAAGCACAAUCAUAGCCCCACCGUGAUGAGCUGCUAGUCUGAAUAACAUUCCCUGACUUAGGGAAAGGCACACAAAAACAUAUAAAGAAUAUGUCUAUUUUCAUAUGUGUGAUACUGACAGAGCCAUGGUAUUCCUAAAAUAUAGGUUUCUCUUUUUUCUUGUAUUCUUAGCAAAUUGCAUUUAUUCACUACAUUACAAACCAUCACUGAUGUAUCCAAAAUAGCACACAUAGUUCAGUAUGAAAAUAAGAGAAUAAAAUCUGUUAUAAGCAAGUGAUUUAGGUAUUUUCUUUUGUGUUUAUGCAUUAUCUGACUAUAUUAAAACCUGUUUUUCUAUUUACCUUCUAUCAGUUUUCUCUACCAAUUAUGUUUUUUCAAUGCUCUAUAAGAAUGAAUAUGGAAAUUAUAUUUCUUUUUUCUGUAAAAGAGUUGCAACUACUUUAUUAUAUUUAGAAAUCCAAUAAACUUCUUAUUACAUUUA
rnacentral:lncRNA from 1 species